rnacentral:rRNA from 1 species
GACGAACGCUUUUUGCGUGCUUAACACAUGCAAGUCGAACGGAAAGGCCCUGCUUUUGUGGGGUGCUCGAGUGGCGAACGGGUGAUUAACACGUGAGUAACCUGCCCUUGACUUUGGGAUAACUUCAGGAAACUGGGGCUAAUACCGGAUAGGAGCUCCUGCUGCAUGGUGGGGGUUGGAAAGUUUCGGCGGUUGGGGAUGGACUCGCGGCUUAUCAGCUUGUUGGUGGGGUAGUGGCUUACCAAGGCUUUGACGGGUAGCCGGCCUGAGAGGGUGACCGGCCACAUUGGGACUGAGAUACGGCCCAGACUCCUACGGGAGGCAGCAGUGGGGAAUAUUGCACAAUGGGCGGAAGCCUGAUGCAGCAACGCCGCGUGCGGGAUGACGGCCUUCGGGUUGUAAACCGCUUUCGCCUGUGACGAAGCGUGAGUGACGGUAAUGGGUAAAGAAGCACCGGCUAACUACGUGCCAGCAGCCGCGGUGAUACGUAGGGAGCGAGCGUUGUCCGGAUUUAUUGGGCGUAAAGGGCUCGUAGGUGGUUGAUCGCGUCGGAAGUGUAAUCUUGGGGCUUAACCCUGAGCGUGCUUUCGAUACGGGUUGACUUGAGGAAGGUAGGGGAGAAUGGAAUUCCUGGUGGAGCGGUGGAAUGCGCAGAUAUCAGGAGGAACACCAGUGGCGAAGGCGGUUCUCUGGGCCUUUCCUGACGCUGAGGAGCGAAAGCGUGGGGAGCGAACAGGCUUAGAUACCCUGGUAGUCCACGCUGUAAACGGUGGGUACUAGGUGUGGGGUCCAUUCCACGGGUUCCGUGCCGUAGCUAACGCUUUAAGUACCCCGCCUGGGGAGUACGGCCGCAAGGCUAAAACUCAAAGGAAUUGACGGGGCCCCGCACAAGCGGCGGAGCAUGCGGAUUAAUUCGAUGCAACGCGUAGAACCUUACCUGGGUUUGACAUGGAUCGGGAGUGCUCAGAGAUGGGUGUGCCUCUUUUGGGGUCGGUUCACAGGUGGUGCAUGGCUGUCGUCAGCUCGUGUCGUGAGAUGUUGGGUUAAGUCCCGCAACGAGCGCAACCCUUGUUCACUGUUGCCAGCACGUUAUGGUGGGGACUCAGUGGAGACCGCCGGGGUCAACUCGGAGGAAGGUGGGGAUGACGUCAAGUCAUCAUGCCCCUUAUGUCCAGGGCUUCACGCAUGCUACAAUGGCUGGUACAGAGAGUGGCGAGCCUGUGAGGGUGAGCGAAUCUCGGAAAGCCGGUCUCAGUUCGGAUUGGGGUCUGCAACUCUACCUCAUGAAGUCGGAGUCGCUAGUAAUCGCAGAUCAGCAACGCUGCGGUGAAUACGUUCCCGGG